CCUAGCCCUUGUUGUGUCCUAAACAUUGGGCCGUCUUGGUGAAGAUGCAAUGAGAAAGCACAGUCUUUGAAGCAAGAGAGAGCCCUUACGAGAUGCUGAAUCCGCUAGUGCCUUGACAUGGGACUUUCCAACCUUCAAAACUAAAAACUGUCAAGACCAGUGAACACCUAGUGUUACUUGCACCAAGAAUAGUAACCACGGCUCUUGCAGAACUUGAAGAUGGAUUUUCACCUGUCGCCCAGGCUGGAGUGCAAUGGAGACAUCUCAGCUCACUGCAAUCUCUGCCUCCUGGGAUCAAGUGAUUCUCCUGCCUCAGCCUCCCAAGUAGCUGGGAUUACAGGUAUGUGCUACCAUGCCCAGCUAAUUUUUUAAUAUUUUUAGUAGA
rnacentral:lncRNA from 10 species